CGUAACACUAAUGUUCAGGGUUUUUUAGUUUGUUCUGAAUUGUAUAGGUUUUUUACGUGUUCUAUUUACACAUAUUUCCGUCUGCUUAUGUGUAAUUUGAAAGCUUUCAACAAAGCUCGAUUUGUGAUUUCAUGUCGUUUGAACUUUUUGCAGAAAACAGAGGCGUUGAAGAAGCUUAAAGUAGAGAUGAUUCUGAAUACAACGAAAUACAGCCGAAGAGGCAGCGGCUCGACUGCUCGAGCAAUGGCGUUGGAGCAUAAAGUUGUCCGAGUUCAUUACGACUGUGGAACACGAAAGACAAGGCGAUUCAGAUGCAUCUUCAGAUUAAUGAGAUGAUCGAUGUCAAGGGAAUACCAACAACAAUGAAUUGGCUUCUAUUGAGGGAAAAUAUUAUAAUGAAAGAACUGUUAAAUGUUUUGAAAACAGCAUGGUGUUUUCAUUACUUCCAUUGGCUAUUAAGUGGUGGAGAAAUGCUGCUAAACAGAACCGGUGUGACUGUAUACUUUCAUAUGGGAAGUGAGCCGCAAACGAGCUGUUGAAUGGAACUCGAACAAGACUACAAGACAACUGAUUAUCUCUGUUUUCAUAUGCUACUAUUUGGUGCCUAUGGAUCAUUCGGAAUGAUAAGGAAAGCUCUGUUACCAAAACCAUUGAAGACAUUAAAGAGACGACAUACCUCUGGUUAUCGAAUCGCACCAAGAUUACAAUUUGGCAAUAGAGCUGGUAGUCUAACUUUAUCCCAAAUGAUAAAAGCUCUUAGUGUUUUUGUUGGUUAUUCUUUAGUUUAGCUUAAGUGUCUUUGGCAUUGUAUAUUUAAUUCUAUGUUGGUGUUGUUUGGAUGGGCCCUUCUCGGCUUUUAUUACACUGGAUGGGUCAAUCUGUUCUUUUUGUAUAGUAAUAAAAGCCUUGCCAUUCGACAUCAACCGGAAAUGUGAACUCACCUCUCUGUAAUGGCUUAAAGACAACGCUUGUGCUUGACCGCUGAAAUAAUUGCCAUGUCAGCAACCUAUUCAACAAUGGAGUUGGUUCAAGGUCAUCUUAAUGUUCAGUAUAUACUCUAAUUCAUAGCCGAGAGCACCGGGCUAUGGUUGUAGAACUGAUAAAACCGAAGAAAUAUAGCUUGAUUGGAAUGAAAUUGCACAAGAACAUGGUAAGUUCAUGUGGGCUUUUCAUACCCGAGACAGCUUGUGUGUACAAUUGUAGUUGUGGUCAUUCUUUCGUUUUCAGUUGUGAUUACUGGGAAAAUCACAUCGCCAGCAACAUUCUAUGCUACUGCUGGUGGUAUUGUGGCUGCUUUCCUCUCGGUUUUCUGGUCUUUUGGGUAUAUUCGUCUUUCUGAUAGGCUUCAGAAGACCGCCAAUGACCCUUUAAAGUGUGGAUCCUAAUAAAAAGACGUUAAAUAUACAAGUUAAGAAGUGUUGAAGUUGAUAGUUAGGUGCAAUGAAGGUUCUUUUUAUAAACCAUGUGUUGUAAAUUUUAUGAUGUUUGAAACAUGAAUAACACAAUAAUAGUUGGAUAUGGAUUUAAACUUAGCCAAAAAGGUAAUUGUGAAUUACAAUUUGCAUGUUAAUGAGUAUUCUCGCACAAUCGUUUCUAGCAUUUGCGCUAUAAGUGAU